CCGCCGCCACAUGCGGGAACUGCUGGCUCCCUCGUGCCCACCCGGGGCUGAGGACUGCACGUGCAGCCACAGAUGCAUCCGGCCCUCCUGCCCCACAGCCUCUAUGAAGGCCACAUAAGUGGCACCAAGUGUCUCUGUCUGCCGAUCAGCAUCCCCUCUUGACUUCACAGCAGACGCAUCUGCCUUUCAGGACUGCCUUGAACAACAUCUGGGCUGGUCAGGUGGAGAGCGAGGAGUUUCCAGGUUGCAGCCCCUAUGGUCCUGAGGGCUGGUGUCCAGGAUGGUGGGGGGGCCAGCAGCUCUGGGCAGCGAGGUCCCCGGCUGGGUGAUCCAGGUGGCAGCUGACCAGUGACCUGGGAGCCCAGCCCUCCUGUCCUCACGUGGGGCCCCAUCUCCAAAAGCCGGUGCAGUGCCCUGCACAUUAUCCAACCUACAUCUGUACUGUCUCCCCAAGGAAAACAAGUGUGUGGUUCACGUGCUUUAAGGACGUUUCCCAGGUGACAUUCCAAGCUCCCAUCUGUGGCCGCAUGUGGGGGAGUUUCCAGUUUUCCAGAUGGAUUUCCUGCGAUGCCGGAGAACCCUCCGCCUCCUUCAGAGCCAUCUCAUCAAUGCAGUGAUCGCAAGCUUCGAUUUACAAAAACUCGCCUCCCUUGCAGCAUUUCCAGGUUUCACACACGGCGUAACAAGUAAAAAUGGAUUUUUGGGCAGCACGCCUGUCCUAGUUUGCUGAGGCUGCCAUAACAGAGUACCAGAGACUGGGGUGGCGUCAGCAGCAGAAGUUGAUUCCUCAGUUCUGGAGCUGGAAGUCCAGGAUCAAGGUGCUGCCAGGUUCGGCUUCUCCGGAGGCCUCGGUCCCUGGUGUGGGACCUUCUUGCUGGGACCUCGGUCCCUGGUGUGGGACCUUCUUGCUGGGUGCUCAUGUGGCCUGUUCUCUCGGCACAUGCAUCCCAGGUGCUCUUCCUCCUCUAAUGAAGACACUAGUCCCAUGGGACCAAGGCCUCACCCUGACUAGAUGGAAACUUCAUUACCUCCGUAAAGGCCCCGUCUCCAAAUAGCCCACUGGGGUCGGGGCUUUACCAUGUUGACCUGGGGAAGGGGGCAGUUCAGUUCGUAACAUGCCCUUUUGGGAAGAGAAAGUCAGGCAAUGAGCAGACACAGGCAGGAAGCCACGCCGGGCUCCAGCAGGGAUGGCCCAGUGCCCUGCACAGGCAGCAGGCAGCUGGGCUGGAGGUGGGCCCUGGGUGGAGGACACCUACCAGGUGUGUCUAAACUGCCCCUUUCCUACACAUCUUACUUCGCACUGGGCUCGCCACCCAAGACCUGCUUUUUCCAGAAAGCAAAGCCUACUUUGGUCAAACUCUCGUUUUUAAAAAUCACUUCAUCUUUUCCUCCCUAACUUAAUUAGCUCCAAAGCACUGAGCUGUAUUGAAAUAGAUCACCACAAUGACAAUCCUCUUUGGGACUGAAAACAAAAUCUAUUUCAACUUGAACAGGGAUAUUGAUAGAAGACAGGGCUCCAUGAAAAAGGGUUAGGAGGAGCCGCUUGCUGGGGCAGGGGCCGCAUCUGGGCACUGCAGUUAAGACGUUAAAGUGUCUUCGGUCCCAGCGGGGCCCCAGAUGAACACAGUUCAGCGUUUCUGGAUGUAAAUUGUCAAAGCUCCUUCGAUCCCCAGCCUCGGGCAAGGAAAGGGCCUUUCUCUCUGUGAUGCCACCUGUGCUCAGGUGUGCACUGGAUGGAACUGUGUCCUAGAACCCUCAGCUGUGAUAUUGAUCCGCUGAGAUUGUUUUUCAUCUGUAGAAAUCAAUAAAUUCCUUUUUGGUGCAGUGUUUUGUGAACGGGUGCACUCUCUCACCCAGUCGCUGUCCUAAGAAUUCUCCUUGACUUCGGAACUGGCCCUCCACACCCCAGGAUCCACCUGCCAGGAGACCCCCAGUGUGCUCUCAAACCCCCACCCAUCUGAGUGGCCUGGAAAGGCUGGUCUGAAGACCUCUCUUCCCAUGUCUGCCGACCAGGCUUUGCUCUCCAGGGACUUUCUGGGAGGGGGAGAACCCACCUCCUGCCAACGGCCCUGCUGGCACUCCGAGGACGGCAGAGGGAAGGAAGCCAGGGGCUGGGGAGCCGGCCACACAAGUGCCCAGUGCCUAUCCUUCUCCUGUGCCCACAGAUGCUGAGCUGCCUGGAGCACAUGUACCACGACCUCGGGCUGGUCAGGGACUUCAGCAUCAACCCUGUCACCCUCAGGAGGUGGCUGUUCUGCGUCCACGACAACUACAGAAACAACCCCUUCCACAACUUCCGGCACUGCUUCUGCGUGGCCCAGAUGAUGUACAGCAUGGUGUGGCUCUGCAGUCUCCAGGAGAACUUCUCACAAAUGGAUAUCCUGAUCCUAAUGACAGCGGCCAUCUGCCACGAUCUGGACCAUCCCGGCUACAACAACACGUACCAGAUCAAUGCCCGCACAGAGCUGGCGGUCCGCUACAAUGACAUCUCACCGCUGGAGAACCACCACUGCGCCGUGGCCUUCCAGAUCCUCGCCGAGCCUGAGUGCAACAUCUUCUCCAACAUCCCACCUGAUGGGUUCAAGCAGAUCCGACAGGGAAUGAUCACAUUAAUCUUGGCCACUGACAUGGCAAGACAUGCAGAAAUUAUGGAUUCUUUCAAAGAGAAAAUGGAGAAUUUUGACUACAGCAACGAGGAGCACAUGACCCUGCUGAAGAUGAUUUUGAUAAAAUGCUGUGAUAUCUCUAACGAGGUCCGUCCAAUGGAAGUCGCAGAGCCUUGGGUGGACUGUUUAUUAGAGGAAUAUUUUAUGCAGAGCGACCGUGAGAAGUCAGAAGGCCUUCCCGUGGCCCCGUUCAUGGACCGAGACAAAGUGACCAAGGCCACAGCCCAGAUUGGGUUCAUCAAGUUUGUCCUGAUCCCAAUGUUUGAAACAGUGACCAAGCUCUUCCCCAUGGUUGAGGAGAUCAUGCUGCAGCCACUUUGGGAAUCCCGAGAUCGCUACGAGGAACUGAAGCGGAUAGAUGAUGCCAUGAAAGAGUUACAGAAGAAGACUGACAGCUUGACGUCUGGGGCCACCGAGAAGUCCAGAGAGAGAAGCAGAGAUGUGAAAAACAGUGAAGGAGACUGUGCCUGAGGAAAGCGGGGGGCGUGGCUGCGGUUCUGGACAGGCUGGCCGAGCUGCGCGGGAUCCUUGUGCAGGGAAGAGCUGCCCUGGGCACCUGGCACCACAAAACCACGUUUUCUAAGAACCAUUUUGUUCACUGAUACAAAAAAAAAAAAAAGGAAUUCAUGAUGCUGUACAGAAUUUUAUUUUUAAACUGUCUUUUAAAUAAUAUAUUCUUAUACGGAAA
rnacentral:sRNA from 1 species